CCUCAAACAAAAAUACAAAGAACUUAAGUGUCCACCUACUGGGGUAAGUACAGAGGGUGGUGAAGCAACAGCAGCAUCCUGGAAAUGGAUGCUGCUGAAGCUUCACCAUCCUCGAGAAGCAUGGAAACCCCAGCCAAAAAGAGACGAGGGAAGAAAGAUUUAGUUGAG